GGUUAAGCGACUAAGCGUACACGGUGGAUGCCCCCGGCAGUCAGAGGCGAUGAAGGACGUGCUAAUCUGCGAAAAGCGUCGGUAAGGUGAUAUGAACCGUUAUAACCGGCGAUGUCCGAAUGGGGAAACCCAGUGCAAUUCGUUGCACUAUCGUUAACUGAAUACAUAGGUUAACGAGGCGAACCGGGGGAACUGAAACAUCUAAGUACCCCGAGGAAAAGAAAUCAACCGAGAUUCCCCCCAGUAGCGGCGAGCGAACGGGGAGCAGCCCAGAGUCUGAAUCAGCUUGUGUGUUAGUGGAACGGUCUGGAAAGUCCGACGGUACAGGGUGAUAGUCCCGUACACCAAAAUGCACAGGCUGUGAACUCGAAGAGUAGGGCGGGACACGUGGUAUCCUGUCUGAAUAUGGGGGACCAUCCUCCAAGGCUAAAUACUCCUGACUGACCGAUAGUGAACCAGUACCGUGAGGGAAAGGCGAAAAGAACCCCGGCGAGGGGAGUGAAAAAGAACCUGAAACCGUGUACGUACAAGCAGUGGGAGCACCUUCGGGUGUGACUGCGUACCUUUGUAUAAUGGGUCAGCGACUUAUAUUCUGUAGCAAGGUUAACCGUAUAGGGGAGCCGCAGGGAAACCGAGUCUUAACUGGGCGUUAAGUUGCAGGGUAUAGACCCGAAACCCGGUGAUCUAGCCAUGGGCAGGUUGAAGGUUGGGUAACACUAACUGGAGGACCGAACCGACUAAUGUUGAAAAAUUAGCGGAUGACUUGUGGCUGGGGGUGAAAGGCCAAUCAAACCGGGAGAUAGCUGGUUCUCCCCGAAAGCUAUUUAGGUAGCGCCUCGUGAACUCAUCUUCGGGGGUAGAGCACUGUUUCGGCUAGGGGGUCAUCCCGACUUACCAACCCGAUGCAAACUACGAAUACCGAAGAAUGUUAUCACGGGAGACACACGGCGGGUGCUAACGUCCGUCGUGAAGAGGGAAACAACCCAGACCGCCAGCUAAGGUCCCAAAGUCAUGGUUAAGUGGGAAACGAUGUGGGAAGGCACAGACAGCCAGGGAUGUUGGCUUAGAAGCAGCCAUCAUUUAAAGAAAGCGUAAUAGCUCACUGGUCGAGUCGGCCUGCGCGGAAGAUGUAACGGGGCUAAACCAUGCACCGAAGCUGCGGCAGCGACACUAUGUGUUGUUGGGUAGGGGAGCGUUCUGUAAGCCUGCGAAGGUGUGCUGUGAGGCAUGCUGGAGGUAUCAGAAGUGCGAAUGCUGACAUAAGUAACGAUAAAGCGGGUGAAAAGCCCGCUCGCCGGAAGACCAAGGGUUCCUGUCCAACGUUAAUCGGGGCAGGGUGAGUCGACCCCUAAGGCGAGGCCGAAAGGCGUAGUCGAUGGGAAACAGGUUAAUAUUCCUGUACUUGGUGUUACUGCGAAGGGGGGGACGGAGAAGGCUAUGUUAGCCGGGCGACGGUUGUCCCGGUUUAAGCAUGUAGGCUGAUUGUCCGAGGCAAAUCCGGAUAAUCAAGGCUGAGGUGUGAUGACGAGGCACUACGGUGCUGAAGUAACAAAUGCCCUGCUUCCAGGAAAAGCCUCUAAGCAUCAGGUAACAUUAAAUCGUACCCCAAACCGACACAGGUGGUCAGGUAGAGAAUACCAAGGCGCUUGAGAGAACUCGGGUGAAGGAACUAGGCAAAAUGGUGCCGUAACUUCGGGAGAAGGCACGCUGGUGUGUAGGUGAAGUCCCUGCGGAUGGAGCUGAGACCAGUCGAAGAUACCAGCUGGCUGCAACUGUUUAUUAAAAACACAGCACUGUGCAAACACGAAAGUGGACGUAUACGGUGUGACGCCUGCCCGGUGCCGGAAGGUUAAUUGAUGGGGUUAUCCGUAAGGAGAAGCUCUUGAUCGAAGCCCCGGUAAACGGCGGCCGUAACUAUAACGGUCCUAAGGUAGCGAAAUUCCUUGUCGGGUAAGUUCCGACCUGCACGAAUGGCGUAAUGAUGGCCGUGCUGUCUCCACCCGAGACUCAGUGAAAUUGAACUCGCUGUGAAGAUGCAGUGUACCCGCGGCAAGACGGAAAGACCCCGUGAACCUUUACUAUAGCUUGACACUGAACAUUGAGCCUUGAUGUGUAGGAUAGGUGGGAGGCUUUGAAGCGUGGACGCCAGUCUGCGUGGAGCCAACCUUGAAAUACCACCCUUUAAUGUUUGAUGUUCUAACGUUGGCCCCUGACCGGGGUUGCGGACAGUGUCUGGUGGGUAGUUUGACUGGGGCGGUCUCCUCCCAAAGCGUAACGGAGGAGCACGAAGGUUAGCUAAUCCCCGGUCGGACAUCAGGAGGUUAGUGCAAUGGCAUAAGCUAGCUUGACUGCGAGCGUGACGGCGCGAGCAGGUGCGAAAGCAGGUCAUAGUGAUCCGGUGGUUCUGAAUGGAAGGGCCAUCGCUCAACGGAUAAAAGGUACUCCGGGGAUAACAGGCUGAUACCGCCCAAGAGUUCAUAUCGACGGCGGUGUUUGGCACCUCGAUGUCGGCUCAUCACAUCCUCGGGGGCUGAAGUAGGUCCCAAGGGUAUGGCUGUUCGCCAUUUAAAGUGGUACGCGAGCUGGGUUUAGAACGUCGUGAGACAGUUCGGUCCCUAUCUGCCGUGGGCGCUGGAGAAUUGAGGGGGCUGCUCCUAGUACGAGAGGACCGGAGUGGACGCAUCACUGGUGUUCGGGUUGUCAUGCCAAUGGCACUGCCCGGUAGCUAAAUGCGGAAGAGAUAAGUGCUGAAAGCAUCUAAGCACGAAACUUGCCCCGAGAUGAGUUCUCCCUGAGACUUUAAGUCUCCUGAAGGAACGUUAAAGACGAUGACGUUGAUAGGCCGGGUGUGUAAGCGCAGCGAUGCGUUGAGCUAACCGGUACUAAUGAACCGUGAGGCUUAACCUU
rnacentral:rRNA from 1 species